UGAACGCUGGCGGCGUGCCUAACACAUGCAAGUCGAGCGAUCUUCUUCGGAAGGGAGCGGCGGACGGGUGAGUAACGCGUGGGUAACCUGCCCUGUACACACGGAUAACAUACCGAAAGGUAUGCUAAUACGGGAUAACAUAAGAAAGUCGCAUGGCUUUCUUAUCAAAGCUUUUGCGGUACAGGAUGGACCCGCGUCUGAUUAGCUAGUUGGUAAGGUAACGGCUUACCAAGGCGACGAUCAGUAGCCGACCUGAGAGGGUGAUCGGCCACAUUGGAACUGAGACACGGUCCAAACUCCUACGGGAGGCAGCAGUGGGGAAUAUUGCACAAUGGGCGAAAGCCUGAUGCAGCAACGCCGCGUGAGCGAUGAAGGCCUUCGGGUCGUAAAGCUCUGUCCUCAAGGAAGAUAAUGACGGUACUUGAGGAGGAAGCCCCGGCUAACUACGUGCCAGCAGCCGCGGUAAUACGUAGGGGGCUAGCGUUAUCCGGAAUUACUGGGCGUAAAGGGUGCGUAGGCGGUCUUUCAAGUCAGAAGUGAAAGGCUACGGCUCAACCGUAGUAAGCUUUUGAAACUGUAAGACUUGAGUGCAGGAGAGGAGAGUGGAAUUCCUAGUGUAGCGGUGAAAUGCGUAGAUAUUAGGAGGAACACCAGUUGCGAAGGCGGCUCUCUGGACUGUAACUGACGCUGAGGCACGAAAGCGUGGGGAGCAAACAGG
rnacentral:rRNA from 1 species